rnacentral:rRNA from 1 species
AGCGUAGGUGGCCUAACAUGUCAACUGUGAAACCCGGAGCUCAACUCCGGACUUGCAGUUGAAACUGGUAGGCUUGAGGACGGUAGAGGAAGACGGAACUGCCAGUGUAGGGGUAAAUCCUUAGAUAUUGGCAGGAACGCCGGUGACGAAGGUGGUUUCUGGGCCGGUUCUGACACUGAUGCUCGAAAGCCAGGGGAGCGAACG